ACAAACCAUUAAAUAAGAUAACUUAUUUCAAAAACGAAAAGAAUGGGCAUAACAACUUUACCUAUCGUUCUAACACAAUUAAAUCAAAUGGUAAAGUUAUUAAUAUUAAACAGAUAUGGGUUCCAAAAGGAACCAUAUUUCCUAACUCUCAAGGACCCAAGCAAGCUUGGGUACCCAAAAUGAGAAAAUGAGGAUGUACACAUAGGUGUACCAAGAUACCCAUGGAACAAAAGAAACUUAAAAUAUACUUAUGAAAAGUUAUUAACAAAAAUCAGUAAUCCUUGCAU
rnacentral:lncRNA from 1 species